rnacentral:rRNA from 1 species
UACGUAGGGGGCAAGCGUUAUCCGGAUUUACUGGGUGUAAAGGGAGCGUAGACGGCUAAUCAAGUCAGAAGUGAAAACCCAGGGCUCAACUUUGGGACUGCUUUUGAAACUGAGUAGCUAGAGUGCAGGAGAGGUAAGCGGAAUUCCUAGAGUAGCGGUGAAAUGCGUAGAUAUUAGGAGGAACACCAGCGGCGAAGGCGGCUUACUGGACUGUAACUGACGUUGAGGCUCGAAAGCGUGGGGAGCAAACAGG